CUGGGUGGGGCACUGGAAGGAGAGGACUGGGUAGACAUAUGGGAAGCGACAGCUAAGACGUCGAUUUGUUUGCUGCAUCAGGAGCAAUCAUAUAAAAUGCUCCUGAGGUGGUACACUACACCAGCACAGUUGUACAAAAUGGGGAAAACCACGAUGGACACAUGCUGGAGAGGAUGCAGUGGCAAGGGCACCUUUAUCCACAUGUGGUGGGAAUGCCCUGAAACCAGCAAAUACUGGAAACAUGUACAGACUCUACUGACAGAUGUACUAACACGACAAGUGGAUUUAGACCCGUGGUCAAUCCUAUUGUCCCGACCCGUAGACAGCCUCCCCAGGAGAGAGCAACAACUUCUAAACAAACUCAC